rnacentral:rRNA from 1 species
UCAGCCAUACCGCGUGGGUGAGAAGGCCUUCGGGUUGUAAAGCCCUUUUGUUGGGAAAGAAAUCCAGCUGGUUAAUACCCGGUUGGGAUGACGGUACCCAAAGAAUAAGCACCGGCUAACUUCGUGCCAGCAGCCGCGGUAAUACGAAGGGUGCAAGCGUUACUCGGAAUUACUGGGCGUAAAGCGUGCGUAGGUGGUCGUUUAAGUCCGUUGUGAAAGCCCUGGGCUCAACCUGGGAACUGCAGUGGAUACUGGGCGACUAGAGUGUGGUAGAGGGUAGCGGAAUUCCUGGUGUAGCAGUGAAAUGCGUAGAGAUCAGGAGGAACAUCCAUGGCGAAGGCAGCUACCUGGACCAACACUGACACUGAGGCACGAAAGCGUGGGGAGCAAACAGGAUUAGAUACCCUGGUAGUCCACGCCCUAAACGAUGCGAACUGGAUGUUGGGUGCAAUUUGGCACGCAGUAUCGAAGCUAACGCGUUAAGUUCGCCGCCUGGGGAGUACGGUCGCAAGAC